rnacentral:rRNA from 1 species
UACAGAGGUGUCAAACGUUGUCCGGAAUUACUGGGCGUAAAGGGCGCGUAGGCGGCCUCCGCAAGUCAGUUGUGAAAUCUCCGAGCUUAACUCGGAAAGGUCAACUGAUACUGCGGGGCUAGAGUGCGGAAGGGGCAACUGGAAUUCUUGGUGUAGCGGUGAAAUGCGUAGAUAUCAAGAGGAACACCUGCGGCGAAGGCGGGUUGCUGGGCCGACACUGACGCUGAGGCGCGAAAGCUAGGGGAGCGAACGGG